rnacentral:rRNA from 1 species
AGUGAACGCUGGCGGUAGGCCUAACACAUGCAAGUCGAACGGCAGCACAGUAAGAGCUUGCUCUUACGGGUGGCGAGUGGCGGACGGGUGAGGAAUACAUCGGAAUCUACUUUUUCGUGGGGGAUAACGUAGGGAAACUUACGCUAAUCGCGCAUACGACCUACGGGUGAAAGCAGGGGAUCUUCGGCCCUUGCGCGAUUGAAUGAGCCGAUGGCGGAUUAGCUAGUUGGCGGGGUAAAGGCCCACCAAGGCGACGAUCCGUAACUGGUCUGAGAGGAUGAUCAGCCACACUGGAACUGAGAAACGCUCCAGACUCCUACGGGAGGCAGCAGUGGGGAAUAUUGGACAAUGGGCGCAAGCCUGAUCCAGCCAUACCGCGUGCGUGAAGAAGGCCUUCGGAUUGUAAAGCCAUUUUGUUGGGAAAGAAAAGCAGCAGGUUAAUACCCCGCUGUUCUGACGUUACCCAAAGAAUAAGCCCCGGCUAACUUCGUG